GCCCUCCACUUACCCGCUCCUCCCUCUUCUCUGCUGGAUCACAGGUCUUCUCUUCCUGUGCUCAGGAUUCUGGCUUGCUUGGCUCCCUGGACCCAGUUCUAGCCCAUGGCAUGUCUUUGCAAGGCCAUGGCCCCAGCCAUCCUUCAUAACGGACAGAUGACGUGUGCUCCAUGUGUGCUGUGGUGAGCGUUUACAGGUCAAUUUUGGCACAGUUCAUCUUUUUGUACUGAAUCAUUGGCCAUUGACCAGCCUACACCUACCUGUCCUUGGGCUGGGUUGAACCAAUUAUGGAGGAAGAAACCGCAUAGUACAAUCAGGGUCACAGCUGGGACUGUGGUUGGGACAACGGGAGAUGCUUCAGGAAUAUAGAGUGAACAGUGAAGAUGGGGGCUGCAGAAGGCAUUCUGGAUCACGGGCAUGAGACAGAGGAUGGCAUGGAUGACGCCAAAGAUGGGGCCUGUGCACAUACAGGAGGGGGUACAGGGGACUCACCUGUGUCUGAGUGAAAUCUGGCCAAGGCUUUGCAGUUAAGGUCCAUUGGACGGAGGACGGGGAGCAAGCUGAGCCCGCAGCCCAGAGAGCAGCUUGACAUGACUUCCCUAGACUCUGCAGACAGUCUCAGUCUCAGUUUUGCUAUAAGGAGCAUGUGCUUAUUGGAGAGAGA